UUUAGUUGAAAGUGAACUCGCACACUAAAAAGGUGAAACCAAAAUGGCUUAAUGGUAAUAACCCUUUUUUUUCUUUCUGUUGUGACCAUAGGGAAAAGAAAAGAAAAUCAAACUCCAGCCCCAUACACCACACAGGCUGUGAACAUUCACCUGCUUUGCUUUUUAAAAAUGGUGAGUGGAAAAACAAUUAGAUGAAUGAGGCAUGCACACAUUCUGAUGCAUGCAGUCAAAAGCUGGUUAAUAAUACCUAAAUGGAGUUAAUCGGUCACUAUACAAGUUUCCCUGCUGUGUGUUACCCAUCUCAAAGCGCAGUCAUUUCAGCAGAGCCAUCAUCUUCCUCAUCUACACAACCAAACCAUCACAGAAUUCAAAACUUGGUGUGUGACAUUACCGUCUGCCAUUUUACGUAGGACGUUGACUACGUCAGCGACUUCCAGAGACAGUUCAUCCGGCUGAGUGGCAACAUAAGGAUGAAUGACCUGAAAACAGAAACAGAACUCGUUAAUAUAAGAACAGCUUCAUGCGAGCGAGCUAUUCAUCAAACUGAAGGUUUCACCUGAACU